rnacentral:rRNA from 1 species
CGGACGGGUGAGUAACGCGUGAGAAUCUGCCCUUAGGAAGAGAAUAACAAUUGGAAACGGUUGCUAAUACUCUAUAUGCCGAGAGGUAAAAGGAUCUAUCCACCUUAGGAAGAGCUCGCGUCUGAUUAGCUAGUUGGUAAGGUAAUGGCUUACCAAGGCGACGAUCAGUAGCUGGUUUGAGAGGACGACCAGCCACACUGGGACUGAGACACGGCCCAGACUCCUACGGGAGGCAGCAGUGGGGAAUUUUCCGCAAUGGGCGAAAGCCUGACGGAGCAAUACCGCGUGAGGGAUGACGGCCUGUGGGUUGUAAACCUCUUUUCUCAAGGAAGAAGUUCUGACGGUACUUGAGGAAUAAGCAUCGGCUAACUCUGUGCCAGCAGCCGCGGUAAUACAGAGGAUGCAAGCGUUAUCCGGAAUCACUGGGCAUAAAGCGUCUGUAGGUUGCUUGCCAAGUCUGCUGUUAAAGACUAGGGCCUAACCCUGGGAAAGCAGUGGAAACUAGUAGGCUUGAGUGUGGUAGAGGUAGAGGGAAUUCCUGGUGUAGCGGUGAAAUGCGUAGAUAUUAGGAAGAACACCAAUGGCGAAAGCACUCUGCUGGGCCACAACUGACACUGAGAGACGACAGCUAGGGGAGCAAAUGGGAUUAGAUACCCCAGUCUGA